CAAAUAUGAUUAUAUGGCAUGUGUAUGAUUGAGUAUAAGAACUAUAACCGCAACCGGUUCCCAAAAGCUAAAAUAGUGUUUCCUUAUUAGAAGAUACAAAGCCAAAGACUCAUAUGGACUUCGGCUACACCAUCAAAUCUUUGAGAA
rnacentral:sRNA from 1 species